ensembl:misc_RNA Metazoa_SRP Metazoan signal recognition particle RNA
GCUGGGCACAGUGGCGCAUGCCUGUAGUCCCAGCUACUCAGGAGGCUGAAACUGGAGGAUCGUUUGAGUCCAGGAGUUCUGGGCUAUCCCAAUUGGGUGUCCACACUAAGUUCGGCAUCAAUAUGGUGGCCUCCUUGGAGCGAGGUGCCACUAGGUUGCCCAAGGAGGGGUGAACUGGCCCAGGUCAGAAACAGAGCGGGGUAAAACUCCUGUGCUGAUCAGCAGUGGGAUCAUGCUUGUGAAUAGCUACUGUACUCCAGCCUGGGCAACAUAGCAAGACCCCUUCGCUU